GGGAUAACACUUCGAAAGGGGUGCUAAUACUUCAUAAGACCACUGAGUCUUAUGACGCUGCGGAAAAAGGUGGGGACCUUCGGGCCGACCGUCGUCGGAUGAGUCCGCGUACCAUUAGCUAGUUGGUAGGGUAAGAGCCUACCAAGGCGACGAUGGUUAGCUGGUCUGAGAGGAUGAUCAGCCACACUGGAACUGAGACACGGUCCAGACUCCUACGGGAGGCAGCAGUGGGGAAUUUUGCGCAAUGGGGGAAACCCUGACGCACCAACGCCGCGUGAGUGAUGAAGGCCUUCGGGUCGUAAAGCUCUGUCAGAGGGGAAAAAGUGUGCGGGUGCUAAUAUCAUCUGCGCUUGACGGUACCCUCAAAGGAAGCACCGGCUAACUCCGUGCCAGCAGCCGCGGUAAUACAA
rnacentral:rRNA from 1 species